UACGUAGGGUGCGAGCGUUGUCCGGAAUUAUUGGGCGUAAAGAGCUUGUAGGCGGUCUGUCGCGUCUGCUGUGAAAAUCCGGGGCUCAACCCCGGACUUGCAGUGGGUACGGGCAGACUAGAGGUGUGGUAGGGGAGACUGGAAUUCCUGGUGUAGCGGUGAAAUGCAUUGAGAUCGGAAAGAACACCAACGGCGAAAGCACUCUGCUGGCCGACACUGACACUGAGAGACGAAAGCUAGGGGAGCAAAUGGG
rnacentral:rRNA from 1 species